CUCUGACACCUGAGAUGUAUGAAAUGAAAGCUAAUGUGAAAAAUCGCCCUCAUUUUGUGCCUCAGUUGAGGUAAAUAAAACCCUUAAUCCUCUUCCUGCUGAAACUUUGUCUACAUCUGGCAUGCCAAAUAUUUCUGUCAAGACCGCUGUGUUUCUCCAAGAAUGUCAACAUCAUGCUCACAUGCCAGCUGUGGAUGUUUGAAAGAAAGUGGACCCCCAAAGCAGUGAUGCUGUUAGGAGGUAUGGCCUUAUUGGAGAAGGUGUGGUCUUAUUGGAGGAAGUGAGUCACUGUGGAUCCAGGCUUUAAGGUCUCUUUUGCUCAAGCAUCCCUCAGUGUGACUUUCAGCCAACAUCCUGUAGCACUCUCAGCUCCAGCAACACAUCUGCCUGAAUGCUGCAAUGCUCCAAUUAAUCAUAAAGAACUGAACUUUUGAAACUGUUCCCUUUGUCAAAAGACUAGCAGAGAAGAAAAGUAAUCAGCAGAAGGGUAUGUGAGAAUUUAGCCUGGUAUUAUCAAACAGACUGGACGGAGAUAGAGAAGAGUCUAAAAUUGGGAAACUUAAUAAGAAGCUGCUGUAAUAGUCAAAAUUGAAAACACUCAGGAGAACAGAAAGUGCCAAAAGGAGAAUACCAUCUUACAUUCUGAGGCUAUAAUUCCUAAAAGGCCACGUUCAAGGAUUAUGCUGAAUGAUCACACCCUUCAACAAAGUAUUUCACAUUGUGUAUGUGUAUGUGUGUGCAUUACAAUUUCUCACUAUUAGUGGCCAGUAUAUACAGCUAACAUGUUGGCCUUUUGUGAUAAUUCUGUGUUUCUUGCUUUCAAGAACAAACAAAAUUUGUGGUUCUAACAUCUCAAAGAGAUAGUCAUCUUUAGUAAGUAAUCUGCUGAGGAAGAUUUAGAAAACACAGAACUCUAGAAACCACAGCAUAUCCCUGCACAAAACGUAGGGGCUUAUUAUUACUUGAGUGAAAGUGAUAUAUUAACAUGCCAAUCCUUUGCUAGUAUGAAACAUAUAGGAACCCUGAAUAUUUGGAUACAGUACAUAUCCAUCCUAUGAAACAUGAAUAGGCAAAAAAAAGUGGUUUAAUGUGCUAAAGCUUUCAUUCUGAGUUGGGAGCCUGUCUCCAGGCUGAUCAUAAAUAAUGUAGCAGAGCCCAUCUUCUUCCUUUGGAACUAGCUCUUUGCAUAGUAAAAGCAAUGGCACAUGAUUUGCACAAAUCUUUGCAUAUGUACCUUGCUGAAUCUUUACAGUAUCAUUACAUGUCUUUGGAGGAAUAAAAUCCAGGAUGUUUUGACUAUGCUCAUGUAUCUUCAGCUCAACAUAUUUAAUGUGCAAAGGUAAACAAAGCAGGAAUGAGUACUUAGUCUGCUGGCCUAUUUCCUUGUUGUAUGAAUAUUCAAAAACCCACCUGUUCAAACAUUACACAUGAUCCCUGAAGAAUAGCAGAAACAGUUUGAUCAACUAGUUAUAUUCCAGCAUUUUAUAAUUAAAUACACCCUGACACCCCACAAAAUGCAAUGUAAGACACCCUUGCUGUUACAAGCAAACAUAUGUGUUUAUAAAAAUAUUUUUGACAGUCUACUAAAAGUUUUUUUUGAUUCAGAUAAAUGAAUAAAAAUGGUGUAAAAAUCAUUUCUUCCCUUGAACCAGUGAAUUUUCAAGAAUUUUAUGGUGUUAGUGGGGCAGCUAAAAGAUAUGGAAUAUAUUUAGAUAUAUCAGUAUUUUGAUUAUCAGAAUUGAAACUUUCCAAGAACAUUGGUCUUUAUUCCCUGGGUACCAAAUCAGUCAAAGUUCCCCGAGCACAGCAGCUGUUGCUUAAUAGUCCCAAAGAGUUAAGUGAAGCCCACAUUGAACACAGAUGAGUGUCUCUACGAAGUGGGCCUUCAAUUAGCAUUGAUGGAUUGACUUUCUCAUAGGCAGUAAAAGCUCAAUUUACAGAGAGGAAUCCUAUGAGAUUAAAAAUCCAUGUUAAGAUACAGGGCCUAGAAUUUUAAAUUUGUAGCUAUAAAAUAUGUAUAAA